AACUGAUACUACCUGCGGGAACCUGCGGAAGGAUCAUUACCGAGUUAUCCAACUCCCAACCCCUGUGAAUCAUACCUUUAAUUGUUGCUUCGGCGGGACUUCGCGCCCGCCGGGGACCCAAACCUUCUGAAUUUUUUAAUAAGUAUCUUCUGAGUGGUUAAAAAAAUGAAUCAAAACUUUUAACAAUGGAUCUCU
rnacentral:misc_RNA from 1 species